CUUUUAUUGAUAUUUCAUGUAAUCAAAUAAAAUAAAAUAUCAAGGUUUUAAAUAUAUUUUUAGUUACAUGAUGUGUAAGUGACCUAAUACGAUAUAUCUGGGGUCAGUACAUUCCAUAUGGGGUGAGAGCCAAGCUCGAAUCACCAUCUGGAAUUUACUGACCCCAUAUAUAUCGUAUUAGGUCACUAGCACACCGUGUAACCAAUUAAUCUUACCGACAAUCUCACAUGUGGUAUUUUGACAAGCAGCCUAUCAAAGUGAUGAUGUCUCCAAUACUUACUAUGAAGUACCUAUUUACAUUUUCUAUACAGAAAUCAAAUGCCAACAUUAACAACCUUUUAGCUUUAAAUAUGUUUUAAGAACUUAUUUCAACCUUUCAUCCUCAAUUUAUUCCUCUGUUGAAUUAUUUGAGAUUUUUAAACCGUGUUGUUUGAUAAAGGGUUGUGACAUCUUUUUUGUUUUGAAAGGGAAGUAACUCCUUACUAACCCCAUAUGGUAACUAACCAUGUAUGGUAAGUAACCUUAUAUUUUUUAGACACCCUAUAUCAAAUAUACAUAGUCAACACGUGCUGUCCUUUAACCUAUCACAUUCCUAUAAAUCUAUAGGAG
rnacentral:lncRNA from 1 species